ACUCCCAGCUGGGUUGCGCAUGCGCGGUUUUAUCCAGGCGUCUGGCUCGGCUGCUCGACUCACGUGAUCAUUGCGCCUCGUCGGGGCUCCCCUCCCUGCGCUUUGCGGCGCGCAGAGGCUGCUGGGAGGCCGGAAGGAGCUGUCCCGCGGCUCCGCUGAGCGGGAAGAAGGCACUUGGAGACUGACAAUGGACAGCAAUCUUUGGUCUUCUCUGUGAUCAUCAUGGCUUGUGUGGCUUGUCCCAGGGUCAGCGACAGCCCUUUCUCCUCAGACAAACAUGCUCGUCUCAUCCUUGCCCAGAUUAACAAAAUGAGAGGUUCGCAUAAUUUCUGUGAUGUGCAGCUCCAGGUUGGUGAAGAAGGAUUUAAGGUCCAUCGCCUGGUCUUGGCUGCAAGCAGCCCUUACUUUGCUGCUCUGUUCACGGGAGGGAUGAAAGAGUCUUCAAAGGAUGUAGUACGGAUCCUAGGAGUAGAGGCUGGCAUCUUUCGGAUGCUCCUGGAUUUUAUUUACACAGGAGUAGUGAAUGUUGGUGAGAGUAAUGUUCAGGAGCUGAUAGUAGCAGCAGACAUGCUCCAGCUGACUGAAGUUGUGGAUCUUUGCUGUGAAUUUCUGAAGGGACAGAUCGACCCCUUGAAUUGCAUUGGACUCUUCCAGUUCUCUGAGCAAAUUGCCUGCCAUGACCUACAGGAGUUCACAGAGAAUUACAUCCAUGCUCACUUUCUGGAAGUUCAGAGUGGCGAGGAGUUCCUGGCGCUAACAAAGGAGCAGCUUAUUAAGAUCUUGCGAAGUGAGGAGCUUACUAUAGAGGAUGAGUACCAAGUUUUCACAGCUGCAAUGCAGUGGAUUUUGAAGGAUCUGGGAAAAAGAAAGAAACAUGUGGUGGAAGUGCUGGAUCCAGUUCGAUUCCCUCUGUUACCAUCCCAGAGACUCUUAAAAUACAUAGAAGGAGUUUCAGAUUUCAGCCUUCGGGUGGCUCUGCAAACCCUGUUGAAAGAAUAUUGUGAAGUCUGUAAAUCUCCCAAAGAGAACAAAGUCAGCAAUUUUCUGCAAACAUCUAAGGCUCGUCCCAGGAGGAAAGCCAGGAAGUAUCUUUAUGCAGUAGGUGGAUAUACUCGACUGCAGGGGGGACGCUGGAGUGACAGCAGAGCCCUCAGUUGUGUGGAGCGUUUUGACACCUUCAGUCACUACUGGACCACUGUGUCUUCACUUCACCAGGCUCGCAGCGGGCUGGGAGUGGCAGUGGUGGGAGGAAUGGUUUAUGCUAUUGGAGGAGAAAAGGAUUCAAUGAUCUUUGACUGUACUGAAUGCUAUGAUCCUAUUAUUAAGCAGUGGACAACUGUGGCCUCCAUGAACCAUCCUCGGUGUGGACUUGGAGUGUGUGCAUGUUAUGGUGCUAUCUAUGCUUUGGGAGGCUGGGUUGGAGCAGAAAUCGGCAACACAAUUGAAAGGUUUGACCCUGAAUUAAAUAGCUGGGAGCUAGUGGGCAGUAUGGUUGUGCCCCGCUACUAUUUUGGGUGUUGUGAAAUGCAAGGUUUAAUUUACAUUGUCGGGGGCAUCAGCAAUGAAGGAAUAGAGCUACGUUCUGUUGAAGUCUAUGAUCCAAUAUCCAAACGCUGGUCUACGCUUCCUCCAAUGGGCACCCGAAGGGCAUACCUUGGUGUAGCUGCCCUCAAUGAUUGCAUCUAUUCUGUUGGAGGAUGGAAUGAGACACAAGAUGCACUUCCUACUGUAGAGAGAUAUUCCUUCGAAGAGGAGAAAUGGGUUGAGGUUGCACCGAUGAAGGUACCCAGAGCUGGUGUGUGUGUUGUGGCUGUGAACGGACUUCUUUAUGCCUCGGGAGGCCGAGCUUCUAGUCAUGAUUUCGCUGCCCCAGUGACCUCGGACUCUGUUGAAGUUUAUAACCCUCAUAUGGACACAUGGACUGAAAUAGCAAACAUGAUCACCAGCCGCUGUGAAGGAGGUGUGGCUGUGUUAUGAAAUAGAUCUUCAAAGAACUCGAGGAAGACUAGCAGGGGGAAGGAUGAGCGUCUGGCUUUCUACAGACAAUGAGGUUUCGUGCUGCUUUGGCCAAGAUCCUCUUCCACUAUGUGGCUCUUGUGUGGAGUUGGUAGAGGAGCAGAUCUCAGGUUUUCUGGAUAAAGGAUCUGGUGAUAAGUGGCUGACAGUCUUACUCCACUGCUUCUCUUCCUGUAAAGCUCAACGUAAUUUUGGUUGUUCAUGCUAUUAUAAUACUGGUAUCCUGUUUACCUGUGGGUAGCAGGUGCUCCUAUCCACCCAAGGGUGGACUUUCCCUUCCCUACUUUUCCAAGAAGUGACACCAGUGACUCAUAAAUGCUUAACCUGUGUGCUGGUCACAGGAUUUUUACUGAGCUUUUCAGUUGGGAGUGUCAUCACCUCUCAUUAUAGUGCCCACUCUUCCUUCUGCCGUCCCUGGAAGGGAGUACCCUGUGCACGUGUAUACACAUACGGGGGCUGUCGGGUAGUGGGAUAGAACACCCUUCUGCAAGAUGCUGCUGCUCUUUUCCACUUCCAAAGAUGACACCUCUGGCUUGCACCCUGCCUUUUCCAGGUUGAAGUAGACAGAAAUUGGCUGUGUUCCAUUUCGAAGUGAUGCUACUGUUUAUUCAUUUUGCCAUUGUCUUAAAGGUCCUAUAUUUAGCGUGAGAGCGCUUAUUGGGAAAAUAUUUAUUUUUUUAGCAAUCGUGACACCAUUACCAGAUUUUUAAUCUUCCUGUUUUAAACAAAAAACACACCUGGUACUUGAAGCUUCUGUUUGCACCAUAUUACUGCAUUGUCUUGGCUGGGAUUGAGUACGUCACCUGGAACUCAGAUACAAGUCACAACUGAGACUGUCCAACACAGCACAAUCAGACAAUCUUCUGGAACGCAAACCAGCAUGGGAAGUGUAAUGCAAUGGGAAGCCUUCAUUGUGUAAACAAAGGGGCACCCACUUUCCAGAUCAAGGAUGUUACCUGCCCAGUAUGAAGUUGUCUGGGGGGAAGCUUCCAGUUUGUGUAGUAGCUACUCUGAAAACUGAUAAUUUACAUAUUCAAGGACAAAUGUUAACUGCACCUGCUGACGUUUGGCUUUUCUGAUCCUUUAAUUAAACUCCUAUAUGCUUUUGCUUCAGGAAGGACUUCUAAUGGUUGUGAAGCUAGCCCCUAAUUCUCAUACCUUUAGUUUGAGCCAGGUGAGUUUGCUUUUAAAUUGCUGUAUACUUCUCAGAACUAGCUGCAGGUCAUGAGUGUAUACCUAGGUAAUGGUGGAACUGUGUAGUUUUUACACUGAGUGCUUUUUUUUAGUAAUGAUGGUGAGUGGCAUUGCUGUUAACUGUAACAAAAAUAAGUUUGAUUUUCUUGUUGAAACUUUGUGUUUAACUUCAGACAACCAUUGAGAAAAAGCUUUAAACCAGGUAAACUUUGACAGGUUGUUUUUAAGCUACAGAGAAAUGUGCUUCUGAAAUAAAAUAUUUAUUGUAUUUCCUUA